CUUAUUCCAAAUAUUCCCAAGGACAUGCACGAGUAUAUUAUUUCUGCUUUAUUAAAAUCCUUUUGAUAGAAAUACUACUUUUAUCAUUAAAGUACAGUAGUUACUAUUCUUCCCCUGGCAUAUGUAGCCACACAGAAAUAGAGAGUUUGAGCAAGAGAACGAAGUCGGACGACGUCGACGUGGUUGACAAUUUUUGCCUGUCUUGCACAUUACCUUGUACAUUCUGAGUUUAGGGUCAGGAGUGAAGACAGAUUAGAGAUUCAUGUCUAGCUGUUUGUGAAUGCUGACUCAAAUCCUUACCCUGAUCAGGAUAAAACAGCGAGACAUGAAUCCAUAUCCCGUCUUCGUCUUCUGCCUUCGUUCACAACGAAUAUUUUG